CCUACGAGAGGCAGCAGUGGGGAAUAUUGGGCAAUGGGCGCAAGCCUGACCCAGCAACGCCGCGUGAAGGAAGAAGGCUUUCGGGUUGUAAACUUCUUUUCUCAGGGACGAAGAAAGUGACGGUACCUGAGGAAUAAGCCACGGCUAACUACGUGCCAGCAGCCGCGGUAAUACGUAGGCUGCAAGCGUUAUCCGGAUUUAUUGGGUGUAAAGGGCGUGUAGGCGGGAGCGCAAGUCAGAUGUGAAAACUCAGGGCUCAACCCUGAGCCUGCAUCUGAAACUGUGUUUCGUGAGUGCUGGAGAGGCAGUCGGAAUGCAGUGUGUAGCGGUGAAAGGCGUAGAGAUAAGGAGGAACACCAGUGGCGAAGGCGGAUUGCUGGACAAUAACUGACGCUGAGGCGCGAAAGCGUGGGGAGCAAACAGGAUUAGAUACCCCAGUAGUC
rnacentral:rRNA from 1 species